rnacentral:rRNA from 1 species
AAAUUGAAGAGUUUGAUCAUGGCUCAGAUUGAACGCUGGCGGCAGGCCUAACACAUGCAAGUCGAACGGUAACAGGAAGCAGCUUGCUGCUUCGCUGACGAGUGGCGGACGGGUGAGUAAUGUCUGGGAAACUGCCUGAUGGAGGGGGAUAACUACUGGAAACGGUAGCUAAUACCGCAUAAUGU